rnacentral:rRNA from 1 species
CGGAUUGGAGUCUGCAACCCGACUCCAUGAAGCUGGAUUCGCUAGUAAUCGCGCAUCAGCCACGGCGCGGUGAAUACGUUCCCGGGCCUUGUACACACCGCCCGUCAAGCCAUGGGAGCCGGGAGUGCCUGAAGUACGUGACCGCAAGGAGCGUCCUAGGGUAAGACCGGUGACUGGGGCUAAGUCGUAACAAGGUAUC